AGGACUGUGCUUCAUAGGAUCAUUUGUAUAGUCAAGUUUUCAUUUCUACUGAAUCAACAGUAGUGUUAAUUUAACCCACGAUGAUGAGCGGUAGUGGCUGUCCUGGAGCGUGAAAUUAUCGGAUAUCGGCUUCGUUUCCAAAGUAUUGUAUAUUUUCAUUAAAGGAUAGUAAUCAUCGAGU